AAUUAAUCAAACACUUAUAUUUGUUGUUUAAGCAAGUCAAACAACUAAUAUUGGUUAAAUAAGUCAAAAUUGACUAUAAGCUAACUAUAUUACCAAACAGGACCAAAAUUGUUGAUUAUAAUUUUU